GGGAAUAUGAUUUAAAGGUAAAAUAGUAGCCUUCCAUGUUACUUAUUCGGGUUCGAGUCUCCGAUAUUCUCA
rfam:Fusarium oxysporum f. sp. lycopersici 4287 supercont2.106 genomic scaffold, whole genome shotgun sequence.